rnacentral:misc_RNA from 1 species
GAUGAAGAACGUAGCGAAAUGCGAUAAGUAGUGUGAAUUGCAGAAUUCAGUGAAUCAUCGAAUCUUUGAACGCACAUUGCGCCCCUUGGUAUUCCGAGGGGCAUGCCUGUUCGAGCGUCAUUUGUACCUUCAAGCUCUGCUUGGUGUUGGGUGUUUGUCUCGCCUCUGCGUGUAGACUCGCCUCAAAACAAUUGGCAGCCGGCGUAUUGAUUUCGGAGCGCAGUACAUCUCGCGCUUUGCACUCAUAACGACGACGUCCAAAAGUACAUUUUUACACUCUUGACCUCGGAUCAGGUAGGGAUACCCGCUGAACUUAAGCAUAUCAAUAAGCGGAGGA